rnacentral:rRNA from 1 species
AUUGAACGCUGGCGGCAGGCCUAACACAUGCAAGUCGAGCGGAUGAAGGGAGCUUGCUCCUGGAUUCAGCGGCGGACGGGUGAGUAAUGCCUAGGAAUCUGCCUGGUAGUGGGGGAUAACGUCCGGAAACGGGCGCUAAUACCGCAUACGUCCUGAGGGAGAAAGUGGGGGAUCUUCGGACCUCACGCUAUCAGAUGAGCCUAGGUCGGAUUAGCUAGUUGGUGGGGUAAAGGCCUACCAAGGCGACGAUCCGUAACUGGUCUGAGAGGAUGAUCAGUCACACUGGACCUGAGACACGGUCCAGACUCCUACGGGAGGCAGCAGUGGGAAUAUUGGACAAUGGGCGAAAGCCUGAUCCAGCCAUGCCGCGUGUGUGAAGAAGGUCUUCGGAUUGUAAAGCACUUUAAGUUGGGAGGAAGGGCAGUAAGUUAAUACCUUGCUGUUUUGACGUUACCAACAGAAUAAGCACCGGCUAACUUCGUG